ACUAGCUGAAUAUUCUAAAAUUCAUUCCAUUAUUUACUGCCAGUUAACUUCCAUGAUCAUCUCAAAACUGCUCAUUCAGGUUUGGAGCCUGAAUUCCACUCCUCUGAACAAAGCAUUCAGCACCUAUGAACAUGCACAAAGAACUUGUGCUGGGGAAGAACCUCAACCCCCUGAGAGCAUUGACUGCCAACCUGCACAGCACACCAGCAUUCCAGCCAGCUUCUUACAACCAACACUGUCAGAGAGUGCACAGAAUUCUCCAGCUGAUGGGUGAUUUACACACAAUAUACGUGACCAGGGUCUUAAAUUCCCUCUGAAGCCAGAUGCUGACACAUCCUGAGUACCUUGUCAGUGCAGGUGUUGAAUCCUUCACUGAAUUCACUGGGUGUAAAAUAAUCCAAGGACUCUAAGCCUACUCCAGAAUGGAAAGACAUGACAAGGUCUAGACAAGCUGCCCUGUCAGACUGAAGGCAUUACGCAUUUAAUAAAAGCAGAAAGGAAGAAACUCAUCAGGCUUUUUAUCUUCCAGGACAGCGUGCUCAGAUUAAGCCUUCAUUUACUUGUGGCAAAUGAAAUACUCAUCAGCUCAGUGAUUCUGAACCUUAUCCUCCCCUUGCUCUGAAAGUGUUACAAGUGAGAAAUUAACGGACAACUGCUAAUGGAAUUAAAAGUUUUUUUAUCUCUAUUCACCGUUUCUAUAUGGUCCAAAUCCCAGUGACUGAGAAAAUAACCUGAUGUUUUUACAGUCUAAUGGGGCGUGUGGUCAGUCGCUCAUUAACAAUAUGGAUAUCUCAAGUUGCUGGCAAAAUUUGCCUAUCCAGACAGUUCUAAUCUAACUUAAACUCAUUUCAGGGGCAAAAAAAGAGCUGGUUCUGCUGUUUCAGGGCUUGGGAGGCUCUGAGGCCUGAUGGGCGUCACUAAGGGCAGUAGGUGUAGAGGUGGCUCUGUGACACGGCUCAGAAUCUCGUGUUUUUCAUCUAAAACUUGAUAUUCUUGAUGGAGGAAUUUUCCAAGGAACCAUCAUAUUUCAGUGCUGAUUGCUGAAAGCUUGGAUUCUGAGGUGGUUGGAGUUGGUGUGGCUGGAAAGAGCCGAACCCUGGGGCCGGGAAGAGCCGAACCCUGGGGCCGGGUCGGAGCCGCCUCAGCCCGGGAAGAGCCGAACCCUUCGGCCGGGUCGGAGCCGCCUCAGCCUCGAGGGCACAAGCCCCUCCCGGUGUCCGUGUGAAAACGGGAUCGAGGUGUGGGAGCUGCCGUCCCUGGCAGCUCUGCUCCCGGGCUGCCUCCCUGGAACCUCAUUGCUGUGGAUGUGGGGGAUCCCAGGAUCCUGUGGAAACCCUGGCUGCCCUUCAAACCGCCCCGAGCCCGUCCGGCCCUGCCUCGGGAUCGCCGCCAUUACCGCAGCCCCGUCAGCUGCGGUCAAUGUUAGAGCCCCGCUCCAGAGGGGAGAUUUCCUCGUGAAGUGUGGAGAAAAAAUAUACAUAAUUGAGUUUAUAGCUCGAAAAGUGGUAAAACAGCCCUUGAAGAAGUCAUUAGAUGUGAAUGGACUCAAUGAUUUCUGCCUGAAUCAUCAGCAAGCUUUAAAGACGCACAAUGUGUGCGUGAGGGAAAGGCAGGAGCCCCGGCCGAGGAGUGUUCCUGAAAUCCCACUGACUUUGUCGUUUUUGUAAUUUUAUUUGUAUUUGUCACUAAAACGUGACUGGAAAACUGACACAAAUGCAUUGGAUUUCACACCGCUUCACAAGCGGUGAAGGUGCAAAGGACAAUGAUAUCCCACACCAGCGUUCCUCAUCCACCGCCUCUGCCUUCUGCUGAAGCCGGGACUGUGACACCGUGACCGGGUUUCCUGCUGCUCCACACCUUAUCCUGAGCCGUUCCCAGCCCUUCCCUGGAAUCGCCGCCUCUCAGAGCCGUCAGUGGAGCUGCGUUUGGAGCCUCUCCGCGGGCCGGCUGUGCUGAGCUGGGCUGCGCUGGAAAACCCCCGUGGUUUGUGUUGGACAGUGCCAGCCUGUUUGUGCAGCACCUCAUCCUGUACGUCAUCCUCCUCUGGGCUCCUGCUCUCUGUCACCCCGACAUCUGCACUGCUGCCCACCUCUGCCACCCCAACAUCUGCACUGCUCCCCACCUCUGCCACCCCAACAUCUGCACUG